CCAUCCCGAACACGGAAGUUAAGCCUCUCAGGGCCGAUGGUACUGCAUGGGUAACUGUGUGGGAGAGUAGGUCGCCGCAGUGA
rnacentral:rRNA from 1 species